GCCUCAGUAGUCUAGCGGUUAGGAUACGGCCCUGUCGAGGCUGUGACUCGGGUUCGAUUCCCGGCUGAGGCG
rnacentral:tRNA from 1 species